CCCCUUCGGGGUGAUUCUGGUGGAAUGAGCGGCGGACGGGUGAGUAACACGUGGGCAACCUGCCUGUAAGACUGGGAUAACUUCGGGAAACCGGAGCUAAUACCGGAUAGUAUUUCCUUUCUCCUGAUUGGAAAUGGAAAGACGGUUUCGGCUGUCACUUACAGAUGGGCCCGCGGUGCAUUAGCUAGUUGGUGGGGUAAUGGCCCACCAAGGCGACGAUGCAUAGCCGACCUGAGAGGGUGAUCGGCCACACUGGGACUGAGACACGGCCCAGACUCCUACGGGAGGCAGCAGUAGGGAAUCUUCCGCAAUGGACGAAAGUCUGACGGAGCAACGCCGCGUGAGCGAUGAAGGCCUUCGGGUCGUAAAGCUCUGUUGUUAGGGAAGAACAAGUACGAGAGUAACUGCUCGUACCUUGACGGUACCUAACCAGAAAGCCCCGGCUAACUACGUGCCAGCAGCCGCGGUAAUACGUAGGGGGCAAGCGUUGUCCGGAAUUAUUGGGCGUAAAGGGCUCGUAGGCGGUUUCUUAAGUCUGAUGUGAAAGCCCACAGCUCAACUGUGGAGGGUCAUUGGAAACUGGGGAACUUGAGUGCAGAAGAGGAGAGUGGAAUUCCACGUGUAGCGGUGAAAUGCGUAGAUAUGUGGAG
rnacentral:rRNA from 3 species